rnacentral:lncRNA from 1 species
GCCUUCGAUAUAUAUGCUGCCCCAAACUGUUUUGUUCCAAUAAGAAAGAAAUACAUCAGCUAAGAGAUGAAAACUAAAUUAACUGAAGAAAACUGUGAGGAAUAAUACAAAAUUUGAGGAAAAUCAAUACAGUGCAGCCUUGUAUGAAGAUGACAAAAGACCAGACUAUAAUGGAGAUACAGUAUGAGAGUGGACUCUUUUGACUUGGGCCAGUAAAAAGCAACACCUUGGAGACUAGCCACAAAAUGCAUAGUGGUGCACAAAUCACCAUCACCCACUUUCAUCAAAUGGAAAACAGCAGCGUGAACAUUCAUCAGAACGUCUCCUUUUGAGCUCAUAUGUAUUUGGAACGACAUGAAGGCUUAUAUAUCAGCAGACCUGACUCUGUGUGGUGGAGUAAAGCAGUGUUAAACACAGACCAGCACUGAGGGUCUGUGCACUCGGCGGGCG